UGUGAUGGGAGACAGUGUCAGAAGCCUUGCAAGUCAUAAUCUACAACAAGGAAGAAAGUCACAGACAAGAAGUAAAAUUCUAAACAUAAGGCUGCCUGAGUCCUGUCCUGAAACUCCUUCAGCUUUCCAGAUACAGAAACAUUAACCACAAGGACAGAAGUUAAAGAAUGGUUUUGCUCUAUGUGAAGAAAAUUACUGCCUCUGUUGGUUGCAGUUGGAGGGGUCCUGGCCGAGGAAAGGAAGACUAGAAAUUUUGAGAGCAUUAAAAUGAUGUUUCAGAAUGACAAAAGGAAGUGAUCACUGGUGUACAUCAGGCUGACUUAACCACAGGCUUCACUGGCAGCGUGCAAAAGAGGUUUUGUAAAUGUAACGUUAAGAAUAAAUGGCGGUUAUUCUCCAUUCAUCUGUUUGCUGCGAGCAAGACAGAAUAAGCAAAAGCAACAGAAGGAUCACCAGACGCCGAAAGCCGAUGUGGUUGAAACUGAACCUGCAGAAGCCGGAGCAGAAAUGCAGAUCACAACUGUCUAGUGUUCAUGAAGUCAUCAGAUUCUGUGCAUGAGGCGUGAGGUUUUCAGAAAAUGGAGGAAAAAAGGUUAAAUCCGUCCAUUGUGCAAAGGGUUGUGAAAGUGGAGAGAGAGAGAUUUUCAAUGGCAUAAAUUGGGACUGGACAGCCAUUCUCUGCGUCUUGGAAUAUCUGUCAUUAACAGCUAAACAGGAAAGGUGAGGAAGAAGACUUUUACACAAGCAUCUGUGACACUUCACCCCGUACUUUGUCCUGAGAUUCGUGUUGGAUAUUGGAAAGUGUUUCACAGCCUGCAGUAUGUAACAGUAUAUGGAAGAGCUGUUCUGUGGAUUCUUCUUGAUUAGACAUCCAGGAUGGCUGCCGGUGACUGCAAGGAACUACAUGCAGUGAUCUAUAUGCUCCAUUUCAGUGCUUAUUUCUAUAAAGAUAAUACAGAUAUCUUGCCAAGCAAUUCUUUGUUAGUAGAUAUCAGCUAAUGAGGGAAGAAACAUCUAAGGGGGACAUACUACAAUAACUGUUUUGCCACUCUCUAAUUCCGGAUGGCUUGUACUUCUGAGGCCUAUUGUUAGAACCAGCUUUCUGCUGCCAGUGUGUCCUGCUUGAGAGCCACCUGCUUUUGGAGCACUGUCCUGGGAGCUGAGAGAUGUGCAGCAGAGAACUGAACCUUUUCCCGCUUUUGUGAGUGGUGCUUUAGCAGUGUCUGUUUUAGGUGAUUAAAUAAAGAUUAUCUGGGGCCAUAAUUAGGGAGGAAAACUACUGAAUCCUGAAUGGGUGUAUAAGAGAUCUUUAGUCAUCCAAAGUGGCCCCUUAAAGGGCCGAUCUGAAAUAACCUGAAGUUGCCGUUCAUUUCUCAAGCUGGAGGAUAUUGAGGAAAAGAUUUCAGAGUAGCAUGCGUGUGGAAGAAAGGAGGAGGGAAGUGUCACAUGCAAAAACAGGAUGCAACAAGUGAAGCACACAGAUAGCAUGGGAGAGAAAAUGUGAAAAGCAAUUCCUGAUUUGUGGAACCGAUUUGCAGCUGAAAUGAACCGUCCUAAGGAGGAAUGGCGUAGGGAUGCUUUUGUAUUUCCAGAAUGUGGUACCUUUCAUUAAAAAAGGAAGUCCUUAUAUAUGUACACUGAACAUUAUCAAGAACAUUAUGUGAAAUUUUUAAAAAAAUAUAUCAAGAUGUUGUUGUCUCUUAGAUCCAAGGAAACCAGGGCUACCAAACUGGCAGAGACUCUACUGUUCUUCAAGAGAUAUUGGACUUAGACAGAAGCGAAAGGACCUUUUUCUUUUCCUCUGACAGGACAACUGGAUCGGUGAAUGAAGGUGGCAAAGUACUGAAGAACAGGAUUGACCUUCAACCAAAUAUUUAAGAAUAUAUGCAGACCGUGAUGUGCUCCAAGCUGCAUGAUUCAAUGGGAAGGAAGCACACCACUAUAGGAGGUCAUCAAGAAAGUAAGAUAAAACAGCACUCUGAAAGGAACAGCAGCAGGACAUCACUGAAAAUAUUAUCAAAGAAAGAAAACGGUUUUCUUAAAGGGCAGCACUCUCCAUGGCAGAGGUAACAUACAUGGUGUUUUCUCCCUGUGAAAGUACUUAGAAACUACUUGAAUGACCACUACUGGUGACUGUGGUAGGGAAAAAAAGCAGCUUGGCCUCUCACCAUCAGGAGUUAUUUUGCUGUAUUCACCACAAAACGGACCUAAUUGCCACCAAUGUAUUUGAUCUGGAGCUGACUUGUCAAACAGACUAAGCCAUCAGCAGUUUGAAUUGACCUCAAGAGACGAGAGAAACUUUUGCAGAUUGAAGUUUGAAUUAGCUUGUACUAGGCAUAACACUUUGAGUGACACGAGGCUGGCCAAAGACUAAGGGAAAACUUCAAGCCAGAUAUAUGUGUUCAAGAGCUCUAACUCUGCAGUGAAAGAAGAGGACAGAGUGCUUAUUGAUUCGUGUUACAGAAGCGCAGGAUGUUAUUGGCUUACCCCAUGUUCAGUGUUAUCUAAGGACAAUCAACUCUCAAGUUAAGUUACAGCAGCCUCCAGUGCCUGAUGCUGUUUCUAACCAUUGGAGGCAAAACAAGGUAUAGAAUAUGCAGUAAUCUGGGUAUUUCAAAAAGUUGGAUUUGUGGAUAUUUUAAUACCAGAAGUUGCCAGCUCUCAUGAAGAUUCAUGAAAGGGAUGAGCACGUGCUCAUGAAAACACUGGCAUAUUUGUUGAAAUAUGCCUGCGUCCAGUUUCUUGAUAGUUACUGUUUUGUCUCUUAUUCAGGGUAGAAGGGGAAAAAAAUCUUGGGCUGCUUUACGUUUAGUGCCAUUCAGAUCGAUGUAGUGUUUUUUUACAGUCUAAUAGCCAUUAAUCCCCUAGUUGCUCACCUUAGUCCAUAUGUAAAAGUAAUUGAAAUCAGUGGUUUUAAUUCAAAAACUUCAAUAAGCUUUUAAUCAAGCUCUUUGGUUAGUUCUUUCAUAAUGGUCAAUGAUGUGUGUAUUUUUUUAUAUUUGACCCUUUAAUGUCUUCUGACUUCUACUAUUGUUGAAGCUUCUGUGAGCCUGAAUGAAGUCUGAGACUGAAAAGACAGUCGACGGUAUCUGAAUUGUAAUAGUCAAAAAAAAUCUUCCAGAUCUCUUAAUAGCUCUUUUGAAAUGUGGAGAACAACUCCCAUGGAAGAUUCUACACAUCUGGUUAGUAAGAUCAAUCUGACAGUAACUACUAGUUAUGAAAACGCUAGUAAGCAUUUCUAUGAGUACCAUUCUAGUCCUUUCUGUUUUAUCUUCGAUUGGCUUGUCUCUGCUCUUUCACAUUUGUAUGUAAAAUGUCAAGCAUGGUAUCAUUAAAAAGUAGAAAAAACUCUCACAAAUACCUCUUAGAAAAAUACUUUCUGAUAUAAACUAUCUUGAUCUUGAUUUCUUUCAGCGUUUAUUUCCUAACUUGAAUAUAGUGGAGUAAGUAUUGCAAAUUCGAUUCACACAGUUCAUCGAAAAUCACUGGAUUUGGUGAGGAUAAUAUUAAAUCCAAUGACAUUCUUCUCCUUAAUGAUAGAGCAAUACAUAGUCAUUAAAAUCCAGGUUAUGUAAUUGUUGGGUUGCAGCCAGAACGUAUGAAGCCAUCACCUUGCCAUCUAUGGCAUCUGUGAUGCUUUGCUACUGUUCAUGAUGGAAUUCAGUGUAUUGCUGUCUUCUAGUAAUGUGGUAUAAAUACACUCCUCACUUGCGCUGUGGUUUUGAAUAGGUAUAUACUAGAAAGUUGCAUUGAUGGAACCAGAGCCAUCUGUAUUAUAAUCUUCAUUUGACAGUUUCUUCAUCUUCUAGUUGGAGGAAGUAUUAUAUAGCAUUUGUUGUCCUAGGUAUCCUUCACAGAAAUGAAUAGUUAAACUAUGAGUUAAGGAAAUAUUACACCUUAUUAGCAUUGUACUGUUAGUAGUGAACCAACAUUUUAGUUUGUUCCCUUGUUUAAGCUGACUUCUUGAUCUCUUGACACAACUGGGAGGGGAAAAGGUACAGGCCACUAAAGAACAUUUCAUAAACUCAACACCCACAAAACACAACUGGCAUAUAUCAGUAUUAUUUCCAUGCUUUAAGACUUACAGCAAGCUGGGCAGGGAGGACAGUGGAAGCAAGUGGUUUAGCUGACUGACCACAGUAGGAAAUUUCAGAGGGCCAUAGCGAUCCCAGAACGGUACCUGUUCUUCAGAAACACAGCAAAUGCUCA